rnacentral:rRNA from 1 species
UACGUAGGGGGCAAGCGUUGUCCGGAAUCAUUGGGCGUAAAGCGCGUGUAGGCGGCUGGGUAAGUCCGCUCUGAAAGCCCGGGGCUCAACCCCGGGAGGCGGGUGGAUACUGCUCAGCUCGAGUCCGGAAGAGGAGUGUGGAAUUCCGUGGUGUAGCGGUGAAAUGCGCAGAUAUCAGGAGGAACACCAAUGGCGAAGGCAGCACUCUGGGACGGUACUGACGGCUGAGACGCGAAAGCGUGGGGAGCAAACAGG